GAACAUAUCAUGUUGAAACAGCGCUUCUUGUACGAUCACCGAAGUUAAGCAACGUCGUGCCUGAUCAGUACCUUAAUUGGUAACCGCUUGGGAAUACCAG